GCGAUCGUGGUGUAACGGACAAGCACGGGGAGCUUCCAAUUCUCUGGUACGAGUUCGAGUCUCGUCGAUCGCU
rnacentral:tRNA from 1 species